rnacentral:rRNA from 1 species
UACGAAGGGGGCUAGCGUUGCUCGGAAUCACUGGGCGUAAAGCGCACGUAGGCGGCUUUCUAAGUCAGGGGUGAAAUCCUGGAGCUCAACUCCAGAACUGCCUUUGAUACUGGGAAGCUCGAGUCCGGAAGAGGUGAGUGGAACUCCGAGUGUAGAGGUGAGAUUCGUAGAUAUUAGGAAGAACACCAGUGGCGAAGGCGGCUCACUGGUCCGGUACUGACGCUGAGGUGCGAAAGCGUGGGGAGCAAACAGG